GUAGAGUACAAUAAUCAAAAAUCCUAUAAAUAUCACUGUUUAAAAUACAGUAGGUACAGUCAGUGUAAUGUAAUCUUGUAACUAUCCUGCUGACAUCUGAUUGAGAUUAUUACCUUCUUUCGUAGUAGCCUAAAAUGUGAUCUUACAACUCUGGUAACUAAAACUGGAGACAUUUGCUACUUUGUGCUACCUGCUCAUUCAAAAUUACGAAAUAACAGCAGGGAAAUUAUGUUUGUUUUUACAGGUUAUUAAAAGAAUGACCCAGGUUCCUGAGGAGCUGACCUGAAUGACCAUCAUGGCCUCGAUCCGUUGUGCCUUUGUAUUCUUUGCAAAAUGCAAUGAAUAUUUACAGAGCUGACCAUCCAUGGCCGUUUGAGAAUCAGAGGAAUGGAAAGCAACAGCAUCCUCCAUGGAAGGUCUGUCAAGCUGAGCACACAAGUCCUGGGGCACAGGAAUCCGCUGGACGACAUCCCAAUAAGGAAGAGGGUCUUUGAUGAUCUCGAAGAGGACAAGAAAGAGGACUUAUAUUGGAUACUGUAAUACAGUGCAUUGUAGGCUGUAUACUGUACAAUAAACAAAUUGUAUGGCCCUGAA